ACGAACGCUGGCGGCGUGCUUAACACAUGCAAGUCGAACGGAAAGGCCCUUCGGGGUACUCGAGUGGCGAACGGGUGAGUAACACGUGGGUGAUCUGCCCUGCACUUCGGGAUAAGCCUGGGAAACUGGGUCUAAUACCGGAUAUGACCAUGAGAUGCAUGUCUUGUGGUGGAAAGCUUUUGCGGUGUGGGAUGGGCCCGCGGCCUAUCAGCUUGUUGGUGGGGUUAAGGCCUACCAAGGCGACGACGGGUAGCCGGCCUGAGAGGGUGACCGGCCACACUGGGACUGAGAUACGGCCCAGACUCCUACGGGAGGCAGCAGUGGGGAAUAUUGCACAAUGGGCGCAAGCCUGAUGCAGCGACGCCGGCGUGAGGGACGACGGCCUUCGGGUUGUAAACCUCUUUCAGCACAGACGAAGCGCAAGUGACGGUAUGUGCAGAAGAAGGACCGGCCAACUACGUGCCAGCAGCCGCGGUAAUACGUAGGGUCCGAGCGUUGUCCGGAAUUACUGGGCGUAAAGAGCUCGUAGGUGGUUUGUCGCGUUGUUCGUGAAAACUCACAGCUCAACUGUGGGCGUGCGGGCGAUACGGGCAGACUAGAGUACUGCAGGGGAGACUGGAAUUCCUGGUGUAGCGGUGGAAUGCGCAGAUAUCAGGAGGAACACCGGUGGCGAAGGCGGGUCUCUGGGCAGUAACUGACGCUGAGGAGCGAAAGCGUGGGGAGCGAACAGGAUUAGAUACCCUGGUAGUCCACGCCGUAAACGGUGGGUACUAGGUGUGGGUUUCCUUCCUUGGGAUCCGUGCCGUAGCUAACGCAUUAAGUACCCCGCCUGGGGAGUACGGCCGCAAGGCUAAAACUCAAAGAAAUUGACGGGGGCCCGCACAAGCGGCGGAGCAUGUGGAUUAAUUCGAUGCAACGCGAAGAACCUUACCUGGGUUUGACAUGCACAGGACGUGCCUAGAGAUAGGUAUUCCCUUGUGGCCUGUGUGCAGGUGGUGCAUGGCUGUCGUCAGCUCGUGUCGUGAGAUGUUGGGUUAAGUCCCGCAACGAGCGCAACCCCUAUCUUAUGUUGCCAGCGCGUCAUGGCGGGGACUCGUAAGAGACUGCCGGGGUCAACUCGGAGGAAGGUGGGGAUGACGUCAAGUCAUCAUGCCCCUUAUGUCCAGGGCUUCACACAUGCUACAAUGGCCGGUACAAAGGGCUGCGAUGCCGUGAGGUGGAGCGAAUCCUUUAAAGCCGGUCUCAGUUCGGAUCGGGGUCUGCAACUCGACCCCGUGAAGUCGGAGUCGCUAGUAAUCGCAGAUCAGCAACGCUGCGGUGAAUACGUUCCCGGGCCUUGUACACACCGCCCGUCACGUCAUGAAAGUCGGUAACACCCGAAGCCGGUGGCCUAACCCUUGUGGAGGGAGCCGUCGAAGGUGGGAU
rnacentral:rRNA from 1 species